rfam:Gossypium raimondii Chr12_contig_138, whole genome shotgun sequence.
CCUGGGGGUGCGCUUUGCUUGCGUGGACACAAAGCGCGCUGACGAGGACGCGCUUUGCUGCCACGUAGGCAAAGCGCGCCCUCGGGG